UACGUAGGGUGCAAGCGUUAAUCGGAAUUACUGGGCGUAAAGCGUGCGCAGGCGGUGAUGUAAGACAGAUGUGAAAUCCCCGGGCUCAACCUGGGAACUGCAUUUGUGACUGCAUCGCUGGAGUACGGCAGAGGGGGAUGGAAUUCCGCGUGUAGCAGUGAAAUGCGUAGAUAUGCGGAGGAACACCGAUGGCGAAGGCAAUCCCCUGGGCCUGUACUGACGCUCAUGCACGAAAGCGUGGGGAGCAAACAG
rnacentral:rRNA from 1 species